GGGUUCCAAAUCCGAAAGGAGGAGGGUAAUCCCCAAACAUUACCACAGUUAUGUCUGAGGGCUGCAACUCGCCCUCACGAAUAUGGAAUCCCUAGUAACUGCGUGUCAUUAUCGCGCGGUGAAUACGUCCCUGCUCCUUGCACACACCGCCCGUCGUUUCAUUGAAGUGAGCUUUUAGCGAUGUGACGUCUAAUUGGCGUUAUUGAACUUGAGGUUCGUGACAAGGGAAAAGUCGUAACAAGGUA
rnacentral:rRNA from 1 species